rnacentral:rRNA from 1 species
GAUGAACGCUGGCGGCGUGCCUAAUACAUGCAAGUCGAGCGAACAAACGAGGAGCUUGCUCCUCUGACGUUAGCGGCGGACGGGUGAGUAACACGUGGAUAACCUACCUAUAAGACUGGGAUAACUUCGGGAAACCGGAGCUAAUACCGGAUAAUAUAUUGAACCGCAUGGUUCAAUAGUGAAAGACGGUUUUGCUGUCACUUAUAGAUGGAUCCGCGCCGCAUUAGCUAGUUGGUAAGGUAACGGCUUACCAAGGCAACGAUGCGUAGCCGACCUGAGAGGGUGCUAGGCCACACUGGAACUGAGACACGGUCCAGACUCCUACGGUAGGCAGCAGUAGGGAAUCUCCCGCAAUGGGCGAAAGCCUGACGGAGCAACGCAGCGUGAGUGAUGAAGGUCUUCGGAUCGUAAAACUCUGUUAUUAGGGAAGAACAAAUGUGUAAGUAAAUAUGCACGUCUUGACGGUACCUAAUCAGAAAGCCACGGCUAACUUCGUG